rnacentral:rRNA from 1 species
UUAUUUGAGAGUUUGAUCCUGGCUCAGGAUGAACGCUGGCGGCGUGCCUAACACAUGCAAGUUGAGCGAUUUACUUCGGUAAAGAGCGGCGGACGGGUGAGUAACGCGUGGGUAACCUACCCUGUACACACGGAUAACAUACCGAAAGGUAUGCUAAUACGGGAUAAUAUAUUUGAGAGGCAUCUCUUAAAUAUCAAAGGUGAGCCAGUACAGGAUGGACCCGCGUCUGAUUAGCUAGUUGGUAAGGUAACGGCUUACCAAGGCGACGAUCAGUAGCCGACCUGAGAGGGUGAUCGGCCACAUUGGAACUGAGACACGGUCCAAACUCCUACGGGAGGCAGCAGUGGGGAAUAUUGCACAAUGGGCGAAAGCCUGAUGCAGCAACGCCGCGUGAGUGAUGAAGGCCUUCGGGUCGUAAAACUCUGUCCUCAAGGAAGAUAAUGACGGUACUUGAGGAGGAAGCCCCGGCUAACUACGUGCCAGCAGCCGCGGUAAUACGUAGGGGGCUAGCGUUAUCCGGAUUUACUGGGCGUAAAGGGUGCGUAGGCGGUCUUUCAAGUCAGGAGUGAAAGGCUACGGCUCAACCGUAGUAAGCUCUUGAAACUGGGAGACUUGAGUGCAGGAGAGGAGAGUGGAAUUCCUAGUGUAGCGGUGAAAUGCGUAGAUAUUAGGAGGAACACCAGUUGCGAAGGCGGCUCUCUGGACUGUAACUGACGCUGAGGCACGAAAGCGUGGGGAGCAAACAGGAUUAGAUACCCUGGUAGUCCACGCUGUAAACGAUGAGUAC